UACGGGGGGGGCAAGCGUUGUUCGGAAUUACUGGGCGUAAAGGGCUCGCAGGCGGCCAACUAAGUCAGACGUGAAAUCCCCAGGCUCAACCUGGGAACUGCGUCUGAUACUGGAUGGCUUGAAUUCGGGAGAGGGAUGCAGAAUUCCAGGUGUAGCGGUGAAAUGCGUAGAUAUCUGGAGGAAUACCGGUGGCGAAGGCGGCAUCCUGGACCGACAUUGACGCUGAUGAGCGAAAGCUAGGGGAGCAAACGGG
rnacentral:rRNA from 1 species